AUUUGUCCAUCACCAAACUUCUUCACUUCCAUACACAUGAACAGAGCAAAAGAGAAGACAGUUCUCAGUCAGUGAUGAUUUUAUAGGAUUUUAGGGGUCAAGACUAGCCAUCAGUUGUAACCCUUUUAUUUAAAUGCCCUCUUUCAGGGAUUGCAAGAAAAAUCCUCCUCUUAGCCUGCUUAGAAAGCUGCCAUCUGCUGUAAGACCUGGAACCACUGUCAUAAGUUCCAGUAUCCACUAAAAAUGAUGAAGAUCAGAGAAAAAGAAAAAUGUGCUUCUGGCUAAGACUGUUAUAUAAAAGGAAAGAAUAUGAAGAGAUCUCUAUAGUCAGCAAAGGAAGAAACAAGGAUCAAGUAACCAAGAAAUCAAGAAUGACAAUGUUUUGAUCUCAAGGAGUGUGUCUAUGUCCUCCAACAGACCAGCACAGAAGUCUUCAUCUCCUGUUCGUUUCCACACCUUCAGGUCAGCCCACAGUCUCUCUUUGCAAAAGACUCUCAGCUUCAUCACAUGGCUCUUUCCGCUGGUAUGUGAAAUACCAACUUGCAGAGCACUCAGCACAGCAGGUGUCUUGGAGGCAUGGGAUCAUCUGGCUUCUGAAAGUGAAAAGAAGGAAAUAAAAAGCUUUUGCACUUUGCA